AGGAUGAACGCUGGCGGCGUGCUUAACACAUGCAAGUCGAACGAUGAUGCCCACUUGUGGGUGGAUUAGUGGCGAACGGGUGAGUAACACGUGAGUAACCUGCCCUUAACUCUGGGAUAAGCCUGGGAAACUGGGUCUAAUACCGGAUAUGACUCCUCAUCGCAGUGGGUGGGGGGUGAAAGUCUUUAGUUGUGGUUUUGGAUCGGACUCGCGGCCUAUCAGUCGUUGUUGGUGAGGUAAUGGCUCACCAGGCGACGACGGGUAGCCGGCUAGGAGGACGGGUCGACCGGCCACGACGUGGGACUGGAACGACGACGGCCCAAGACCUACCGUACGGG
rnacentral:rRNA from 1 species